rnacentral:rRNA from 2 species
GAGUAACACGUGGGAGACCUGCCCAGAAGCGGGGGAUAACACCUGGAAACAGAUGCUAAUACCGCAUAACAACUUGGACCGCAUGGUCCGAGUUUGAAAGAUGGCUUCGGCUAUCACUUUUGGAUGGUCCCGCGGCGUAUUAGCUAGAUGGUGGGGUAACGGCUCACCAUGGCAAUGAUACGUAGCCGACCUGAGAGGGUAAUCGGCCACAUUGGGACUGAGACACGGCCCAAACUCCUACGGGAGGCAGCAGUAGGGAAUCUUCCACAAUGGACGAAAGUCUGAUGGAGCAACGCCGCGUGAGUGAAGAAGGGUUUCGGCUCGUAAAACUCUGUUGUUAAAGAAGAACAUAUCUGAGAGUAACUGUUCAGGUAUUGACGGUAUUUAACCAGAAAGCCACGGCUAACUACGUGCCAGCAGCCGCGGUAAUACGUAGGUGGCAAGCGUUGUCCGGAUUUAUUGGGCGUAAAGCGAGCGCAGGCGGUUUUUUAAGUCUGAUGUGAAAGCCUUCGGCUCAACCGAAGAAGUGCAUCGGAAACUGGGAAACUUGAGUGCAGAAGAGGACAGUGGAACUCCAUGUGUAGCGGUGAAAUGCGUAGAUAUAUGGAAGAACACCAGUGGCGAAAGCGGCUGUCUGGUCUGUAACUGACGCUGAGGCUCGAAAGUAUGGGUAGCAACAGGAUUAGAUACCCUGGUAGUCCAUACCGUAACGAUGAUGCUAGUGUUGGAGGGUUUCGCCCUCAGUGCUGCAGCUACGCAUAGCAUCCGCUGGGAGUACCGCGCAGCUGAAACUCAAGAUGACGGGGCCGC